rnacentral:lncRNA from 1 species
GGGGUGCAGAGCUGGUGGGGAUAGGCUGAGAACCUCAGGGCUGUUCACAGGGGGGAGAGAGGGCCGAGAGGGGAUCAGAUCGAUGCCUGGCAACAUCUGAAGGGUGGGGGUCAGGAGCACGGGGCCAGGCUCUUUGCAGGACAAAGGGGUACGAAGCAAACGGGAACUAGGGAAAUUCCACCUGAACAGAAGGAGAAACUUCCCUGAGGGAACCCUGGCACACACUGCCCAGAGAGGUCGGGAAGGCUCCUCUGGAGAGACCCAAACCCACCUGGAUGCUUUCCCCUGCCACCUGCUGAAGGGGUUUGGGCUGGGGGGCGUUCAGAGGGCCCUUCAACCCCUCUGGCUCUGCGACUGUCAGUCCCUUCCCUGUGGUUCUCACAGCGGUGGUGCUGACCAAAGUCACGUUCUCUGUUCCCGUGGUGAAGCGCGUUUUUAAGGACUAAAGCUGCAGGACCCCACUCCCCCCGCAGACAGCCGCAGUACCACACUCGGGCGUUUCCACGUGGUUUUAUUGCGCUCCGGGCCCCUUCGAGAGCGCAGCUCGGCCCCGCGGCAGCCCCGAGCCCUCCGCCCUCAGCUCUCGGGGCCGGCCGAGGCCUGCCGGGCGCGGCGGUUCUGCAGCAGGCGGUAGGCCCGGACGCCGCACAGGUACCCGCCGUACACCGUCAGCAGCAUCAUGGAACCGGAGAAGGCUUUGUAGCCGAAAUCAGCCAGCUGCUUGCCGGACACCAUGGCCGCUCCGCCGUUCGCAGGCUCCGCUUCCGCCGCCGCGCCUGCCUCAGGGCCGCGCUUCCGCCCGACGUCCCGCCUCCCCG